rnacentral:rRNA from 1 species
GACGAACGCUGGCGGCGUGCUUAACACAUGCAAGUCGAACGGAAAGGCCCCUUUGGGGGUCCUCGAGUGGCGAACGGGUGCGUAACACGUGAGUAACCUGCCCUUGACUUCGGGAUAACUUCAGGAAACUGGGGCUAAUACCGGAUAGGAAUCCUUGCUGCAUGGUGGGGGUUGGAAAGCUUCGGCGGUUUUGGAUGGACUCGCGGCUUAUCAGCUUGUUGGUGGGGUAGUGGCUUACCAAGGCUUUGACGGGUAGCCGGCCCGAGAGGGCGACCGGCCACAUUGGGACUGAGAGACGGCCCAGACUCCUACGGGAGGCAGCAGUGGGGAAUAUUGCACAAUGGGCGGAAGCCUGAUGCAGCAACGCCGCGUGCGGGAGGACGGCCUUCGGGUUGUAAACCGCUUUCAGCAGGGGCGAAGCUUGUGGUGACGGUACCUGCAGAAGAAGCACCGGCUAACUACGUG